rnacentral:rRNA from 1 species
UAUGCAGUCGACGGCAGCACGAGAGAGCUUGCUCUCUUGGUGGCGAGUGGCGGACGGGUGAGUAAUAUAUCGGAACGUGCCCAGUAGCGGGGGAUAACUACUCGAAAGAGUGGCUAAUACCGCAUACGCCCUACGGGGGAAAGGGGGGGAUUCUUCGGAACCUCUCACUAUUGGAGCGGCCGAUAUCGGAUUAGCUAGUUGGUGGGGUAAAGGCUCACCAAGGCAACGAUCCGUAGCUGGUUUGAGAGGACGACCAGCCACACUGGGACUGAGACACGGCCCAGACUCCUACGGGAGGCAGCAGUGGGGAAUUUUGGACAAUGGGGGAAACCCUGAUCCAGCCAUCCCGCGUGUAUGAUGAAGGCCUUCGGGUUGUAAAGUACUUUUGGCAGAGAAGAAAAGGUAUCUCCUAAUACGAGAUACUGCUGACGGUAUCUGCAGAAUAAGCACCGGCUAACUACGGUGCCAGCAGCCGCGGUGAUACGAAGGGUGCAAGC